rnacentral:lncRNA from 1 species
CGUCCCGCCCCUCUCCGAGGGCGGCGUCGAGGCCAGCGGCUGGGAGGCGGGCAGUUCCUGCUGGCUGUGCGCGCCUUAUUCUGACCUCACUCUAAGUGUAAGCGGCGGCUGCGGCUCCUGGAGCACAGCGGGCAGAACUGAGGUCUGCGCGCGCCCCUGCUGCCACAGGGCGUCCCGCGGUGGCUCCCCCGCCCUGCGGCGACUUCCGCGCCCGUGCUCCCCUUUAUCCGAUUCCCAGAGCGCCGGCAGUGACGGGGUCGGAGCCGGUGCCCUGGGCGACUGAGGCGGCCGUAGUCCGCGACCCGGCGAUGCCGGACCAGAUCUCCGUGUCGGAAUUCGUGGCCGAGACCCAUGAGGACUACAAGGCGCCCACGGCCUCUAGCUUCACCACGCCCACGGCCCAGUGCCGGGACACCGUGGCGGCCAUCGAGGAGAUACUGCUACCUGCUGAGAGGCCCCAGAGCUAUUCUGGAGACUACGCCCUAUCCUGCGCGCCCUAUCCUGCAUGUCAUCACCUGCAGUUGGUUCCAGUCUCCAAGGAUGAAGUGGCAGGAAUGCUCCUCCCUGCCCCCUUAUAAGUGCCUUCGCCAUUGAAUAUUUGAGCCUUGAUCAGAACAUGGUCUUGGCUCCAUUUCUCUCUCAUCUGCCUAGUUUCCCUUUCUUUAAGUGCCAGCCUGCCACUCAGGUGUACCCAGUCCAUGUGAGCCUCUGGACGGCUUGCAAGAUUGCUGGGUGACAUUAGCCAAGGCACAUGCCAUGUUUGGCCCUGAGGGACUGUUUCUGUCCAAUAUCUAAAACACCUUCUAAGCAACAGCACCUUUCUUCUUGAGGUGAGGUGGGAGCAAAGACAAUGUCUGGCCAAUCUCAGAGUCUCCAGUGCUCACCCAGGACAGAUGCUCAGUGGGUGUUUCCUGAACAUCAUCAGAUGGUCUGGGGCUCAGUCUACAGGUUCUGUGGCUUUAAGCAGGAGGGCCAGUGGCCUUGCUGUGUGUGGAGCCAACUGAGUUGGGAAAGGCUGGCAUGGACUACUCUGACUAAAUUCUCGGCUGUUCCAGACAUUCAAGGUCUUUCCCCAUGUCUACCAAUUAUCUGCUUCAUCCCCACACUCAUGGGAGAGUGAACCAUGAACAGGGUGCUGUGGCAACACAGGAAACUCACAGACCUUGGUUUAUUAGAUUAUUUUAAAAUGCCAGACCAAUAGAAAGGAAGGACGGAGCACACAGGAACACCUGUAUUUGCAGGAUGGAGGGCAGAUGUACACAGCCUUGAGCAUGCAUGUAUCUCCUGUGUAAUUAGGCAAAUGAAUACAUAAAUACCACACAACAGCCAGACUUGGGGGUGGGGAGAAUCACAGGCCACAGGGUACCAUGCUUUAAAGGCAGUCAGAGGCUUUAAAAAGAGGGGCUAAAGAACUUGAAGCUGGAUGACCUGUUUCUCAAGCGCUAUGCGUGUUUGCUCAAGGAUGUCGGGGAACCAGUACCCUUCCCCGAGCCCCCUGAAAGCUUUGCAUUUUAUAUAAAACAACUAAAGGAAGCAAGGGAAAGCCCUUCAUGAGAUAAGCAGUGUGGCUGUGUGUGUGUGUCUGUGUAUGUCUGUGUGUCUGCUCCUGUGAGCAUGUAAAUGUGUGUGUGUGUGCGCAUGUGCCUGUGUCUAAAUGUUAUUUCUAAAGUGUACUUGAGAGGAAAAUAAACCAAUGAAAAUUUAAAAAAAAUAAAAUAAAAUAAAAAAAAAAAAAAAAAAAAAAAAAAAAAAAAAAAAAAAAAAAAAAAAAAAAAAAAAAAAAAAAAAAAAA